AACAACACCUCAUCACUUCCGGUAUGUGGUACAUUCCCUUUCCGUGAAGAAUCUGUCAUUUGUAAAUUUGUUUCGGGACUGGUAAAAGUGUUUUGCGUCUUGUUAAUUUGUUUUCUAAAAUGUAAAAAUGUUUUCCAAAAUGUAAAUUUGUCUCGAGCUUUGUAAAAGUGUUUCAUUCUUUGUAAUGUUGCUUUGCACUUCCCGGCCACCGUAG